AACGCGAAGAACCUUACCAGAACUUGACACCGUCUGCAUUACCCGUAACUGGGGAAAUCCUUCGGGACAGAUAGACAGGUGGUGCAUGGUUGUCGUCAGCUCGUGUCGUGAGAUGUUGGGUUAAGUCCCGCAACGAGCGCAACCCCUAUUGUUAGUUGCCAUCAUUAAGUUGGGCACUCUAAUGAGACUGCCGGAGACAAUCCGGAGGAAGGCGGGGAUGACGUCAAAUCAUCAUGCCCCUUAUGUUCUGGGCUACACACGUGCUACAAUGGGUAUAACAACGGGAUGCAAGCUAGUGAUAGCAAGCCAACCCCUAAAAAGUACCCUCAGUUCAGAUUGUAGGCUGAAACCCGCCUACAUGAAGUUGGAGUUGCUAGUAAUCGCGAAUCAGCAUGUCGCGGUGAAUACGUUCCCGGGUCUUGUACACACGC
rnacentral:rRNA from 1 species